rnacentral:rRNA from 1 species
GAUGAACGCUGGCGGCGUGCUUAACACAUGCAAGUCGAACGGAAAGGCCCUGCUUUUGUGGGGUGCUCGAGUGGCGAACGGGUGAGUAACACGUGAGUAACCUGCCCUUGACUUUCGGAUAACUUCAGGAAAAUGGGGCUAAUAUCGGAUAGGAUCUCCUGCUGCAUGGUGGGCGUUGGAAAGUUUCGGCGGUUGGGGAUGGACUCGCGGCUUACCAGCUUGUUGGUGGGGUAGUUGCUGACCAAGGCUUUGACGGGUAGGCGGCAUGGGAGGGUGGCCGGGCACAAUAGGCCUGCGAUAGGGCCCAGACGGGAACGUGAGGCAACGGUGGAGAGUAUGACACAGUGGGCGGGAGCCUGAUACGACGGCGUCGGGUGCGGGAAGACGGCCUUCGGGGUAAAAACCGCUUUCGCCUGUGACGUAGCGGGAGUGACGGUAAUGGGUAAAGAAGCACCGGCUAACUACGUG